GCACUCGACCUCCUCUUCCUCAUCCUCCGCCUCCAACCAGCACCCAACUACUCUCCGCCUCGGCCUCCGUCUCCACUCUCCUCCUUCUCUGCCUCCGUCUCCGUUCUCCUCCUUCUCCUCCUCCGACACACCUCUUCUCUCAUCUCUCUUCUCAAAUCCACCAAUGAUGCAGUCCAUGCCGGAGCUCCGCCUUGUUCCCUCGUCGAGCCCACCAUGGAAGAUAAGACCUAACAUUCAAGACAAGGCUCGCUGUCGAUUCAGGAAUACCUUGUUACAGCAUCCAAGAACCAGAUCUUGUAUGUCUUCUUCAGUUCCCCUAGACUCUGGGACUUCUGCUACUAUGCCAAU